AAAAUCCGUCGACUUUAGAAAUCGUGAGGGUUCAAGUUUCUAUCCCCA
rnacentral:tRNA from 1 species